UACGAAGGGGGCUAGCGUUACUCGGAUUGACUGGGCGUAAAGGGCGCGUAGGCGGUUCGUACAGUCAGACGUGAAAUUCCUGGGCUCAACCUGGGGGCUGCGUUUGAUACGUGCGGGCUUGAGUUCGGAAGAGGGUCGUGGAAUUCCCAGUGUAGAGGUGAAAUUCGUAGAUAUUGGGAAGAACACCGGUGGCGAAGGCGGCUCACUGGCCCGAUACUGACGCUGAGGCACGAAAGCGUGGGGAGCAAACAGG
rnacentral:rRNA from 1 species